UAUUCACUAAAAAGCUCAUUUUAUAUCUCUUUCAGAAAAAAAAGCCUUCAGAUAAGAAUUCCACCACUUUCCCCCACCAAUUUAUAAAACAUAUCUGCUUGUCAUAAUAAUUUUUCUUUCUUUCCCUUUGUUCUGCUUUUAUCAAAGUCCAAUUCUUCACUAGUUUCAAGUCCACCUGAGACUUAAAUCCUGGUAAACCUAUGUCUUGGGUGGGCAUAGCAAGGAUGAUCACAGCCGUUAUGACCUCUUUAUUAGCUGUCCAGUGGUUGUUGGAAUGCAGAACUACUGGACAUCCACCAAGGCAUUCUUUUCUAUGUGGGAACUAAUGCCUUGGGGGUCCAAGAUGCUUUUGCUGACUUUCUCCCAGGCUGACCCUCAUAUGAGCUCCAUUUAGAUGUGAACCCCUGGUCUUACCCUGACCUGUAUGAUCCUAAAGCCAAAUGGAGGCUCAGGUAUAUAGUAUCCCCUUCCAACCCUCUUCCUUGCAAAUUUACCCUCAAAGGUAGGUGCUUUGAGGCUGUUAGUUUUGCAGUACUUGUGGUUGAAACUUUGCCCCAUUUCCCUCCUGUGCUGGAGCAGGCUGGGCAUCCCCUGGUCCUCAUUGUCAACUCUCCAUUUCCAAAUCCCUCUUAGAACACUUGUAUAUCUUCUGUGCAAUGUGUAAUAAAAUAUCUCUCUUGUUCUUUUAUUUUAAGGCCAAGUCAUCAGUGUAGACUUUGAAGCACUUAACCUAUGUGUUUCUCAAGAGUAUGCUCUUUGGAUUAUCUUCUGUCCCUCUCUGCUUUUUCCCAUGGAAUUAUUAGAAUUUUACUAUCUGAGAAUGAGUAUAAGUGUCAAAAGGAGAAGAAAAAGAUGAGAAGCCAGAUGACCAGUAAGGAAGCUGACUUGUAUACACAUGCAGGAGAUUCUCUAGGAAUAUAUUAAGAAGUAAAUAUUUUGCAUAUCUUCAACUUUAUGAGAGUGUCUAGAACCUGUCCAUUUCCAUGAAAAUUUUGAAUUGACAUCUCCAAGUAAAGAAAACAAAGCAACAGUGAAAUUAGUGGAAAUUGCAUCAAAUUUACAAAUCUGUUUGGAUGCAACUAACUUUAGUCACCGAAGAUUGCCUGCUGAAGAUGAACAACCUAAAAUUAGAAAACACACAAGGAAACCAUCCACAAAAAACAAGAAUCAGCAGAUGCUAUAAACAGCAGCUCUCUCUCAUUUGCCAUCCUCCUCUGCCAUGCUACCCUGCCUUGAAGCCAGCUGACUAUGGUCCAGAACCUCUACAAACUGUAAGCCAAAAUAAACCUCUCCUCCUUAGAGCUGUGGGUGUCAGGUGUUGUGUCUCAGUGGCAAGAAACUAAGACAAAGACCA
rnacentral:lncRNA from 1 species